rnacentral:rRNA from 1 species
AUACAUGAGCAAAAUCUCAACUUUAUUAGAAGAGACGCAUUUAUUAGAUAAAAAGCCAAUGCAUGCUUUUACAGUAUGGAAAUUGGUGAUUUAUAAUAACUUAGCAAAUCGCAAAGUGAAAACAGGCGAUAAAUCAUUCAAGUUUCUGACCUAUCAGCUUUCGACGGUAUGGUAUUGGCUUACCGUGGCAGUGACGGUUAACGGGGGAUUAGGGUUCGAUUCCGGAGAGGGAGCCUGAGAAACGGCUACCACAUCUAAGGAAGGCAGCAGGCGCGCAAAUUACCCAAUUCUAACAGUUUGAGAGAGGUAGUAACAAGAAAUAACAAUACAAGGCAAUAAAAAUGCUUUGUAAUUGGAAUGAUAGAAAUUUAAACCCUUUUUAAAGUAUCAAUUGGAGGGCAAGUCUGGUGCCAGCAGCCGCGGUAAUUCCAGCUCCAAUAGCGUAUAUUAAAAUUGUUGCAGUUAAAAAGCUCGUAGUUGAAGUUCUGCUAAAAGUAACCGGUCUGCUUUUAAUAAAAGUGGUAUCUUGGUGUGUAUUUAGCAAUGAUGUCCUUUGAAGUGUUUUUUACUUUAUUGUAAUAAAGCAUAUUCAGGACUUUUACUUUGAGAAAAUUAGAGUGUUUCUAGCAGGCUGACGCUUUGAAUACUGCAGCAUGGAAUAAUAAG